rnacentral:tRNA from 1 species
GGCUCUGUGGCGCAAUGGAUAGCGCGUUGGACUUCUAAUUCAAAGGUUGUGGGUUCGAAUCCCACCAGAGUUG